GUCGAGUCGGCCUGCGCGGAAGAUGUAACGGGGCUAAACCAUGCACCGAAGCUGCGGCAGCGACGCUGAUGCGUUGUUGGGUAGGGGAGCGUUCUGUAAGCCUGUGAAGGUGGCCUGUGAGGGUUGCUGGAGGUAUCAGAAGUGCGAAUGCUGACAUAAGUAACGAUAAAGCGGGUGAAAAGCCCGCUCGCCGGAAGACCAAGGGUUCCUGUCCAACGUUAAUCGGGGCAGGGUGAGUCGACCCCUAAGGCGAGGCCGAAAGGCGUAGUCGAUGGGAAACGGGUUAAUAUUCCCGUACUUGGUGUUACUGCGAAGGGGGGACGGAGAAGGCUAUGUUGGCCGGGCGACGGUUGUCCCGGUUUAAGCGUGUAGGUGUGUGUUCCAGGUAAAUCCGGUUCACUUUAACACUGAGGCGUGACGACGAGGCACUACGGUGCUGAAGCAACAAAUGCCCUGCUUCCAGGAAAAGCCUCUAAGCAUCAGGUAACAUCAAAUCGUACCCCAAACCGACACAGGUGGUCAGGUAGAGAAUACCAAGGCGCUUGAGAGAACUCGGGUGAAGGAACUAGGCAAAAUGGUGCCGUAACUUCGGGAGAAGGCACGCUGACAUGUAGGUGAAGUGAUUUACUCACGGAGCUGAAGUCAGUCGAAGAUACCAGCUGGCUGCAACUGUUUAUUAAAAACACAGCACUGUGCAAACACGAAAGUGGACGUAUACGGUGUGACGCCUGCCCGGUGCCGGAAGGUUAAUUGAUGGGGUCAGCGCAAGCGAAGCUCCUGAUCGAAGCCCCGGUAAACGGCGGCCGUAACUAUAACGGUCCUAAGGUAGCGAAAUUCCUUGUCGGGUAAGUUCCGACCUGCACGAAUGGCGUAAUGAUGGCCAGGCUGUCUCCACCCGAGACUCAGUGAAAUUGAACUCGCUGUGAAGAUGCAGUGUACCCGCGGCAAGACGGAAAGACCCCGUGAACCUUUACUAUAGCUUGACACUGAACAUUGAGCCUUGAUGUGUAGGAUAGGUGGGAGGCUUUGAAGUGUGGACGCCAGUCUGCAUGGAGCCGACCUUGAAAUACCACCCUUUAAUGUUUGAUGUUCUAACGUGGACCCGUAAUCCGGGUUGCGGACAGUGUCUGGUGGGUAGUUUGACUGGGGCGGUCUCCUCCUAAAGAGUAACGGAGGAGCACGAAGGUUGGCUAAUCCUGGUCGGACAUCAGGAGGUUAGUGCAAUGGCAUAAGCCAGCUUGACUGCGAGCGUGACGGCGCGAGCAGGUGCGAAAGCAGGUCAUAGUGAUCCGGUGGUUCUGAAUGGAAGGGCCAUCGCUCAACGGAUAAAAGGUACUCCGGGGAUAACAGGCUGAUACCGCCCAAGAGUUCAUAUCGACGGCGGUGUUUGGCACCUCGAUGUCGGCUCAUCACAUCCUGGGGCUGAAGUAGGUCCCAAGGGUAUGGCUGUUCGCCAUUUAAAGUGGUACGCGAGCUGGGUUUAGAACGUCGUGAGACAGUUCGGUCCCUAUCUGCCGUGGGCGCUGGAGAACUGAGGGGGGCUGCUCCUAGUACGAGAGGACCGGAGUGGACGCAUCACUGGUGUUCGGGUUGUCAUGCCAAUGGCACUGCCCGGUAGCUAAAUGCGGAAGAGAUAAGUGCUGAAAGCAUCUAAGCACGAAACUUGCCCCGA
rnacentral:rRNA from 1 species